rnacentral:rRNA from 1 species
GACGAACGCUGGCGGCGUGCCUAAUACAUGCAAGUAGAACGCAGUUUCGAACGGGUGAGUAACGCGUAGGUAACUGCCUCAUAGCGGGGGGAAACUAUUGGAAACGAUAGCUAAUACCGCAUACUGUGGGAUGGACCGGCGUUGUAUUAUGUAGGUGGUGCGGUAAAGGCUCACCAAGGCGACGAUACAGAGCCGACCUGAGAGGGUGAUCGGGCACACUGGGACUGAGACACGGCUCCGACUUCCUACGGAGGCAGACGGAGGGAAUUUUUGGAAAUGGACCGAAGGCUGGAUGAGCACCGCCGCGGGGGUGAAGAAGGGUUUCGGAUCGGAAAGCUAUGUUCUUAGAGAAGCGGUAACUAACGAGAAAGGGACGGCUAACUCCGUGCCAGCAGCCGCGGUAAUAC